CCGCCCCGAAUUGUAGUCUAGAAAGCCGCCAUCGGCCGCGCCCUCCGCUUAAGUUCCUUGGAAUAGGAGAAACGGAGAGGGUGAGAUUCCCGUACCGUGGAGGAUCGCGGCCGCACGAUGCGGAUUUGCAGAGUCGGGUUGCUUGGGAUUGCAGCUUGAAUUGGGUGGUAAAUUCCAUCUAAAGCUAAAUACUGGCUCAUGACCGAUAGCGAACAAGUACCGUGAGGGAAAGAUGCAAAGAACUUUGAAAAGAGAGUUAAAAAGUGCUUGAAAUUGGCAGGAGGAAACCCGGAUGUGCCUGGCAUUGCCGGCCCACUUCAGCAGCGUGCGUGGUUGAUUCGGACCGCAAGGCCGAUGUCCUGUAGCGCGCUGUGCACUGUGGCCGGUGGUCCAGCCGCGCCGUUGUCCGCGGCACAUGGCGUUGGGUGGGGCUUCGGUGAGCCCUUCGCAGCGCCGCGGACGGCGUCUCGGCUGGGGGAAUGGGCACCUCCGACCCGUCUAGAAACACGGACCAAGGAGUCUGACACGUGUGCGAGUACCCGGGUGGCAAGCCCGCGUGCGCAAUGAAAGUGAAGGGCGUGCCCCGCCAACCGACCUUGAUCUUCUGUGAAGGGUUUGAGUGGAGCACAUCUGUCGGGACCCGAAAGAUGGUGAACUAUGCCUGAGGAGGGUGAAGCCAGAGGAAACUCUGGUGGAGGCUCGUAGCGAUACUGACGUGCAAAUCGUUCGUCGAACUUGGGUAUAGGGGCGAAAGACUAAUCGAACCAUCUAGUAGCUGGUUCCCUCCGAAGUUUCCCUCAGGAUAGCUUGAACGCCACGGUUUUGU
rnacentral:rRNA from 1 species